GGCGGCGGAGAGAUCGUAUCGAUCCGGGCGGUUUCUGACCGUCCCGCUGCCUCCCGCGCCUCCUCCGCCAGCCCCCCCCAAAAACACUGCACCCGUUGCUCUGCCUCCUGCGUCGGGUCGGCAAUCGGCGGGGGGGAGACGGGUAGAGGGAGCUGAAGGAGAAGGGACUCUUCACCAUCCAACACCUGGCUGGGUCCCAUUCAGAGGUCCUGCUUUGUAGACUUGGUGAGGUUUGCUUGGCAGUUACCAGUGAGGUAGCCAACCUCGGUUCCAAGGUGUCCUACUCUGCCAUUGUCACUCUGGGAGAGCUCUUUGAGACCUUGAAGAAGGACAUGGACUCUGAGGUGGAUGAGGUUGCUCGGGUCCUUCUCCAGACGGUGUCCAGCUCCCCAGAAUUUGUUCAGAAGGCAGCCAGUCAGAGCCUGGGGAUCAUGGUGGAGAAUGUGACUCCUGCACAAGCAAUGACUGCUCUCAUGGACAUGGGAGUCAAG